AGAAUCAACGCUGGCGGCGUGCCUAACACAUGCAAGUCGCACGAGAAAGGGACGUUCGGUCCUGAGUACAGUGGCGCACGGGGUGAGUAACACGUGAAUAAUCUACCUCCGAGUGGGGAAGUAAACUGAGAGAAAUCUUAGCUAAUACCGCAUAACACUUACGAGUCAAAGCAGCAAUGCGCUUGGAGAGGAGUUCGCGGCAGAUUAGUUAGUUGGCGGGGUAAUGGCCCACCAAGACGAUGAUCUGUA
rnacentral:rRNA from 1 species